CAGAGACUAAGACACACACAGACUUGGGAAGAUAGGAACAGAGACAGGGACAGAGACAGAGAUACAGAGGCAGAGAGAGAGAGAGAGAGAGACAUAGGCAGAGAGAGAGGCAGAAAGGCAGUAGACAGGGAGAGAGAGGAAGGGAAUAAAACAGCAACACAGAGAGUGAUGAGGCAGAGACCCACAGGGAUGGAGACAGAGACACGGGAGAGAUGGUGAGACACAGAAAGAUUGAGAUUGAGAAGGAAGACUUGGUAAAGGGAGACCCUGGGACAGACUCAGAGGCUGAGAGAGACCAAGACUGAGAGACAGCAGAAGAAACAGAGAUGGCUCCUGUGAGGCUGGCUGGAAGGGGCAGCCAAGAUGUCCUGGGCUCCAUCAGACACUGAUGAUUCCAUUCCGUGUCAUGCUCACUCGAACCCUGCAAGAUUCCACCCUGACCUCAGCCCUGCUAAAUCCUGGCAACUUACCUGGGAGAUGCUACUUCCCGACUGUGUGUCCUUGAACAAGUCAUUCGAUCUCUCUCAUCUUCCGUUUUCUCAUCUGCAAAGAGUCGGCAAUGACUCAUUGGGUCAUUGUGAGAUGUGGCCGUGGUAAGGAAUUCAAA